GAAUAGCUUGGAUUGGAAAGGACAUUAAAGUACAUUUCAUUCCAACUGCUCUGCCGUGGGUUGCUACUCACUAGAUCACACUCCCAGGGCCCAUCCAACCUGGCGUUGAACACCUGCAGGGUUGGGGCAUCCUCAGCUUCCCUCACCAACCUCUGCCAGGACCACAUCACCUUCUGACUAAAAAAAAAAAAUUCCUCCUAAUAUCUCAUCUGAAUCUUCCCUCUUCUCCUUGAAAACAAUUCCCCCUUGUUCUGUUACUAUCUGCCUGUGUAAAAAGUUGGUCUAUCUCCUCUUUAUAAGCUCCUCUUAAGUACUGAAAGGCAGUGAUGAGGUCUCUCUGGAGCUAUCUCUUUUCCAGGCGGAACAAGCCCAGUUCCCUCAACCUUACUUCAUAAGAGAGAUGCUCCAGCCCUCUGACCAUCUCCAUGGCCCUCCUCCAGACCUGCCCCAACAGCUCUACGUCUUUCUUGUAUUUCAGUGAAUUUUCACGUAAUUCUCCUUUUUUUCUAAGUCAUUUUCUAUUAUUUUGUGCUAAAAAUCUUGCAUCUGUAAUUUCUCAGGAUCAAAUGUGAUGUGACGUGGGCCAGAAAACAUUCAGAAUCCAGACAAGUUUUCAUUUUCUUUUUUGUUAGUGCUCCACUAUAGAACAGAUAUGCAAAGAAGAAAGUUCUGCCAUGGAAGUAAUGCAGAAAGCUAAGGAAAAGAAGACUUCUAAGUUCAAUUCUAAGGAGGGGCAGAAACACUACAUUUGAAGACUGGAGUUGAAAGUCUGAGUUUAUGGUGGAGAGGUGCUGUUUCCAAGCUUUAAUUGUAAGAAUGAUUCAUUGUCGUGCGAGAUGUUCAUGGAAGAUUAUACAGAACUUUACUGCUACUAAGCUGCUGCCCUUCAGUUGAAGUGUGACUGGUUAUUUGUGGCUGCUUUGAUUCUCACUGUGAUUUCCUAGUUCUAAGGACCUUUGAAAAGAAAAACAUCUUCCUGUGAAGUUCAUCAUCUCGUGUAAUCCAUACAUCUUACCUGCAAUAACUGAUCCGAAAGACACCUCCACCUUGCUCACACUUCAUUUGCGUCUUUGUGAUUUCUCCACGUUGCUGUCACUUCCAAACCUGGGUUGUCUCAUCUGUUUAUCUGAAAUCUGCACUUAGAUGUUGUACCCUUGAGAAUCAUUUCUACAGGACUUGGAUUCAACAAAGACCGUGCCUGAAGAUUUUGUUUCUCCUGUAUGCUGGAGUGCAUGUAUUAAGAAUGAACCCCUUAGGGAUACAGAGCAAAUUUCUUGUGAGGCUGAUCAAAAACAGUGCCAUGAACUUCCCCAGGAACUAAAGGCUAUUUAUACUUUUUGGUACAACUUACAUUAGCAAAUAAAUAAAACCAAGUGAUCUGGGUUAUAAUGUUUCUUCUAUGUUUAGACCUCACUGAAUUCCAACAGAGAUAGGAACAUUUGUUAAGUGAAGCAAAUCUUUUUUGUGUGUCACAUGGAAAUUUAUGUCUUGCACUAAUACGUUCAUAGUUCCACAG
ensembl:lncRNA